GGUCAGAUGCCCGAGCGGUAAGUCUAUACGAUCCCCAAUCUUCGUGGGUUCGAAUCCCACUCUGAUCA
rnacentral:tRNA from 1 species